rnacentral:misc_RNA from 1 species
UACGGAGGGUGCAAGCGUUGUUCGGAAUUACUGGGCGUAAAGCGCACGUAGGCGGGUCAUCAAGUCGAUUGUGAAAGCCCAGGGCUCAACCUUGGAAUUGCAGUCGAAACUGAUGAUCUUGAAUAUCUGAGAGGAUGGCGGAAUUCCCGGUGUAGCAGUGAAAUGCGUAGAUAUCGGGAAGAACACCCGAGGCGAAGGCGGCCAUCUGGCAGAAUAUUGACGCUCAGGUGCGAAAGCGUGGGGAGCAAACAGG